rnacentral:rRNA from 1 species
UUAAGCAUAUCAAUAAGCGGAGGAAAAGAAACCAACAGGGAUUGCCCUAGUAACGGCGAGUGAAGCGGCAACAGCUCAAAUUUGAAAUCUGGCGCAAGCCCGAGUUGUAAUUUGUAGAGGAUGCUUCUGGGUAGCGACCGAUCUAAGUUCCUUGGAACAGGACGUCAUAGAGGGUGAGAAUCCCGUAUGUGACCGGCCCGCACCCUUUACGUAGCUCCUUCGACGAGUCGAGUUGUUUGGGAAUGCAGCUCUAAAUGGGAGGUAAAUUUCUUCUAAAGCUAAAUACCGGCCAGAGACCGAUAGCGCACAAGUAGAGUGAUCGAAAGAUGAAAAGUACUUUGGAAAGAGAGUUAAAAAGCACGUGAAAUUGUUGAAAGGGAAGCGCCUGCAACCAGACUUCGCGGCAGUGUUCCGCCGGUCUUCUGACCGGUUCAUUCUCUGUCGCGAGGCCAUCAUCGUCUGGGCCCGCCGGAUAAGACCUGAGGAAUGUGGCCCCCCCCUCGGGGGAGUGUUAUAGCCUCUGGUGAUGCGGCGUGGCUCGGGCGAGGUCCGCGCUUCGGCAAGGAUGAUGGCGUAAUGGUUGUCGGCGGCCCGUCUUGAAACACGGACCAAGGAGUCUAACAUCUAUGCGAGUGUUCGGGUGUCAAACCCCUACGCGUAAUGAAAGUGAACGGAGGUGGGAACCGCAAGGUGCACCAUCGACCGAUCCUGAUGUCCUCGGAUGGAUUUGAGUAAGAGCAUAGCUGUUGGGACCCGAAAGAUGGUGAACUAUGCCUGAAUAGGGUGAAGCCAGAGGAAACUCUGGUGGAGGCUCGCAGCGGUUCUGACGUGCAAAUCGAUCGUCAAAUUUGGGUAUAGGGGCGAAAGACUAAUCGAACCAUCUAGUAGCUGGUUCCUGCCGA